UGAAAUGCGAUACGUCAUGCGAAUUGCAAAAUCAGUGAGUCAUCAAAACUUUGAACGCAUCUUGCACUUCCUUCGGGGAGUAUGUCUGUUGGAGUGUCUGUUCAUCCCCACCAAUCCCCACUCCCCUAACCGGGAGCGGUGCAGAUUGCCGCCCACCGCUUACCUAGUAAGCGCGUGCAGAUGAAAACACAAUCUUAUAACCGAUCCUAUUCAGUGUAAUGCUGGUAGGACGCGAGAUGAUAUCAUAACGCGUCUGAAAGGCAAUACAUUAAGCUGUCUAGGGUGUCAGUUAUUCUCAAUAGGACCUCCAAUCAGUCAAGAAUACCCGCUGAAUUUAA
rnacentral:misc_RNA from 1 species